rnacentral:rRNA from 1 species
UGGGGAAUCUUGCGCAAUGCGCGAAAGCGUGACGCAGCAACGCCGCGUGGGGGAAGACGGCUUUCGAGUUGUAAACCCCUUUCAGUUGGGACGAAGCUUCGUCGGUUAAUAGCCGACUGGAGUGACGGUACCUUCAGAAGAAGCCCCGGCUAACUACGUGCCAGCAGCCGCGGUAAUACGUAGGGGGCAAGCGUUGUCCGGAAUCAUUGGGCGUAAAGAGCGUGUAGGUGGGCCGAUAAGUCUGCCGGG